GCUUGCACUCUGCCGGCGAGCGGCGGACGGGUGAGUAACGCGUGGGAAUCUACCCAUUUGUGGGGGAUAACUUGGGGAAACUCAAGCUAAUACCGCAUAAUCCCUACGGGGGAAAGCAGGGGAUCUUCGGACCUUGCGCAGAUGGAUGAGCCCGCGUCGGAUUAGCUAGUUGGUGGGGUAAAGGCCUACCAAGGCGACGAUCCGUAGCUGGUCUGAGAGGAUGGCCAGCCACAUCGGGACUGAGACACGGCCCGAACUCCUACGGGAGGCAGCAGUGGGGAAUCUUGGACAAUGGGGGAAACCCUGAUCCAGCCAUGCCGCGUGUGUGAAGAAGGCCCUAGGGUUGUAAAGCACUUUCAGUAGGGAGGAAGGCUCUGGGUUAAUACCCUGGAGUACUUGACGUUACCUACAGAAGAAGCACCGGCUAAUUUCGUGCCAGCAGCCGCGGUAAUACGAAAGGUGCGAGCGUUAAUCGGAAUUACUGGGCGUAAAGCGCGCGUAGGUGGUUUGGUAAGUUGGGAGUGAAAGCCCCGGGCUCAACCUGGGAAUUGCUUUCAAAACUGCCAGGCUAGAGUGCGGUAGAGGGAGGUGGAAUUUCCGGUGUAGCGGUGAAAUGCGUA
rnacentral:rRNA from 2 species